rnacentral:rRNA from 1 species
UACGAAGGGGGGCUAGCGUUGCUCGGAAUCACUGGGCGUAAAGCGCACGUAGGCGGAUUGCUAAGUCAGGGGUGAAAUCCUGGAGCUCAACUCCAGAACUGCCUUUGAUACUGGCGAUCUUUGAGUCCGGGAGAGGUGAGUGGAACUCCGAGUGUAGAGGUGAAAUUCGUAGAUAUUCGGAAGAACACCAGUGGCGAAGGCGGCUCACUGGCCCGGUACUGACGCUGAGGUGCGAAAGCGUGGGGAGCAAACAGGAUAGAA